UUUCUACUCGGUAACGCCGACAUUGUUCGAAGUAUGUGAUUAUUUCAACAUGCAAGUAAUAGUCGAAAAGCACGCCUGAAUCAGUCGGUGCAGGAUUAUUUUGUCAUUUGUCUGCGCGUUAUCAAUAUUUUGGAUACCGGAAUUGUUCGACGUGAUUACUACAUUAAUGAUGAAAUAAUGAAACAAAAUUUCCACACAACAACAUUCAUUCCUCAAACACGGUCCUUUUGACUGAACUUAACUCAAAAAGCUCCCUUUCCGGUCAGCGUGUUCGACGAAGCGAGAUUAUUUUUAGAAAAAGCAAUCGUUAAUCGUUCAUCUGCAGAGUUUAUCAAAAAAAUCUACAUGGAAAACUCGUAGAAUAAUCGAAGAAAGGCUAAAAAAUCGAGUUGAAUCGAAACACUCAUUGCUGUUCGUGUGCCAAGUGACAAGUUCCAACGUUUUCCAGAAAAUAUUACAAAUGGAAUAAAAAUAAGAAAAAAUUAACGAAGAAACCAAUUGGUUCCCGAAUCUCGAGGUACCUACGACCUAUUAUUGGCGCUUGAUUUAAUGAGCAGGAAGCUAACGUAAGCCAACCAACUUAUAUGAACAAGGUGAAAUCCAAUGAUCAGAUAUCUAAUCUACCUACUUCAAAA